AUCGAACGCUGGCGGCAGGCCUAACACAUGCAAGUCGAACGAGUGGCGGACGGGUGAGUAAUGUCUGGGAAACUGCCUGACGGAGGGGGAUAACUACUGGAAACGGUAGCUAAUACCGCAUACCAUCAGAUGUGCCCAGGUGGGUUGAGCUAGUUGGGGGGGUAACGGCUCACCAAGGCGACGGUCCCUAGCUGGUCUGAGAGGAUGACCGGCCACACUGGAACUGAGACACGGUCCAGACUCCUACGGGAGGCAGCAGUGGGGAAUAUUCGGCAAUGGGCGCAAGCCUGAUGCAGCCAUGCCGCGUGUGUGAAGAAGGCUUUCGGGUUGUAAAGUACUUUCGGCGGGGAGGCGUUACCCGCAGAAGAAGCACCGGCUAACUCCGUGCCAGCAGCCGCGGUAAUAC
rnacentral:rRNA from 1 species